rnacentral:rRNA from 1 species
GAUGAACGCUAGCGGGAGGCCUAACACAUGCAAGCCGAGCGGUAGAGAUUCUUCGGAAUCUUGAGAGCGGCGUACGGGUGCGGAACACGUGUGCAACCUACCUUUAUCUGGAGGAUAGCCUUUCGAAAGGAAGAUUAAUACUCCAUAAUAUAUUGAUUGGCAUCGAUUGAUAUUGAAAGCUCCGGCGGAUAGAGAUGGGCACGCGCAAGAUUAGCUAGUUGGUGAGGUUAACGGCUCACCAAGGCGAUGAUCUUUAGGGGCCUGAGAGGGUGAUCCCCACACUGGUACUGAGACACGGACCAGACUCCUACGGGAGGCAGCAGUGAGAAUAUUGGUCAAUGGGUGCAAGCCUGAACCAGCCAUCCCGCGU